rnacentral:tRNA from 1 species
GAAGUAUGGCUGAGUGGUCAAAAGCGACACACUGCUAACGUGUUGAACCGACAGGUUCCGGAGGUUCGAAUCCCCCCGCUUC